rnacentral:rRNA from 1 species
UACGGAGGGGGCUAGCGUUGUUCGGAAUUACUGGGCGUAAAGCGCACGUAGGCGGCUUUGCAAGUUCGAGGUGAAAGCCCGGGGCUCAACUCCGGAAUUGCCUUUAAAACUGCAGGGCUAGAAUUGUGGAGAGGUAAGUGGAAUUCCGAGUGUAGAGGUGAAAUUCGUAGAUAUUCGGAAGAACACCAGUGGCGAAGGCGACUUACUGGACACAUAUUGACGCUGAGGCGCGAAAGCGUGGGGAGCAAACAGG